rnacentral:rRNA from 1 species
GCCCCAGUAAACGGCGGCCGUAACUAUAACGGUCCUAAGGUAGCGAAAUUCCUUGUCGGGUAAGUUCCGACCCGCACGAAAGGCGUAACGAUUUGGGCACUGUCUCAACGAGAGACUCGGGGAAAUCCUAGUACCUGUGAAGAUGCAGGUUACCCGCGACAGGACGGAAAGACCCCGUGGAGCUUUACUGUAGCCUGAUAUUGAAAUUCGGCACAGCUUGUACAGGAUAGGUAGGGGCCUUUGAAACGUGAGCGCUAGCUUACGUGGAGGCGCUGGUGGGAUACUACCCUAGCUGUGUUGGCUUUCUAACCCGCACCACUUAUCGUGGUGGGAGACAGUGGUU